rnacentral:lncRNA from 1 species
GUUUUUUUUAAUCAACCCCUUAAAACUAGAGCCAGUUUCCUUUAAAUGCAAGCUUCUCAGUUGACGAUUUACUACACAAAGUUUGACUUCCAGAUAUUUUUACGUUUCUUUUCCUAAGUCUUGUUGUAGCCACACAAAGCUACAUACAUACUCCUCCCACCUCACUCCAGGGUCAAGGACUUUCUCAGGAGAAGGGGAGGGGAGGGAAGAGGGAUCCCUAACCUGGUUAAAAUGGAAUCCUAGGUCACAGUCACGGGUUCAUCUCCUAGUCUGUGAGUCUGACUCAGUGUGUAGGAAGCAGGGCAGGGCGUCAUUUCAUGUGCUUGUCGGCCAUGUGUACGUUUCUCAAAGUUCUUAGUCCAGUUCAGAACUGGCCUGCCUUUAUAAGUCUAUGUCAGUUUUAUGAUGUAAUACUUGCACAUAUUGUUACAUAUUUGUGGGCUUUUUCACUUUCUUGCUAUCUUUCCAACACACAAAAAUACCAAGCUCAGGUCAUGAGAACCCCUUUGCCCCAUGAGCUAUUUCACAGGUUUUGAAACCAGGUUUCACCCUAGACUGGGCUGGCCUUGACCUUGCAGUGUCCUCCUGCUCCACUCCCAGGUCCUGGGAUCACAGGCUUACGACACCAGCCUCACCGCAUUAUUAUGAGGAUGUCUGUUUUCCUUUUCAGAAGGGCCUCCAAUCUAGUUAGCUUUUCCUUAGUUUUCUAAAUACUCAAAUUUUAUCAAAUGAAUUGUUCUUCCCUUUAUUCCAUUUAGUAGGUUAUAUUGAUUUUUGAGUGCUAAAAUCAAGUGUCAUUCGGGGGAUAGAUUCACCUCAGCAUGACGUGAUUUCUAGCCAUCCCCAGCAUGGUGCACACACAGCGAAGGCCCUGAAUCUAACCCGGCAAAUUUCUCUUUCACAAGCACCCCAGCUGCUUUCCAAAAUCUCUGGGCAGUUAGUUGCUUGUUGUAUUCUGUCCCGACUUUACAGCACUGUGGGGAGAUAAGUGUGUAUCUCUGCCAUGUUAAUGGAGCCCUCAGGCUCUAUCCAAAUCCUGCCCUACAUGGACACAUGUGACAGAUGAUGGAAACUGCCACAUCAGAGCUCUUUGAAGCCAUGUCUUCCGUGAGCUGGGAUUAUACACUGUCAUGUUGUCUCCUUAUACAGUGAGCACUGUUGGAGCCACUGCUCCCUGGCUGAGAAGGAACCUCUGUCUAAUUUCAAGCAGCCUCAACAUUUUCAAAUCCCUCACAGGAGAUUCCAUGGUAAUGUCCAGUAGCAUGUGGUAUAGCACUAGUCAGGAAGCGCCAUAUUGUUUGUCUGAAAGUCGGGAAAUGGGCAGGAAGUCAGCUUUAUUACCAGGAAGGCCAUUUUACCUGAGGCCCUUCUAAAGGUAUCUGUUUGUCCCUUUCUUAGACAGUGCAGCUGAGUAGAUGGCAUCUCCCCUCAGGAAGCUGUGCCCACCCCCCGGUAGACAUAAAAGAAUGAUUCAUGAGACAGGCCAGCUACACUGAGCUGCUGCUGUGACUACAGCGGCACAACCUGCUGUUUACUCCAAUUGUACAUUUCCUCUUCAAAGGCCUGCAUAUUCUGUGCUCUGUACCAUUAAUAGUACAUGAAUUGUAAAUACCAAGAUUUUUCUAAUAACUUUUAUAUUUAAGUGUCUCCUUUAAAAUAAAAUUGUUGACUAG